AAUAGACAAGAGGGCAAACGUAAUAUCAGGGUCAGAUUGGAUAGGGUUGUUGCCAAUGGGGAUUUCAUGCAGAUUUUUGACGAUUGCACAGUAGAGAACAUCAUCACCACCACUUCGGAUCAUUAUGCCAUUUUGGUGACAAUAGCGAGAAGAGAUGAAAAGGUCCGCAAUGAACCAAUCCAACAGUCCUUCAAGUUUGAAGCAGCAUGGAUGAGAGCCUCUGAUUAUGAUCAUAUGAUUGAGGAAUAUUGGAAGGUGCACAAAGGAGGCAUUACUUCUAUAGAUAACACAUGGUCUGCUCUUAAUAAAUUGUCAUGCAGCUUGCAAGAGUGGAGCAGAGUCUCUUUUGGCUCAAUUAAAAAGGAGAUAAGGAAACUAGAGAAAAGGCUAACUAGUAUCCGUAGAAAUAAUAUUGUGUGCAACAACUCAGACGAAGAAAGAAAUAUAGAGAAGAGACUGAGUGAGUUGUUUGAAAGAGAAGAGAUCAUGGCUAGACAACGGUCUAGGGUAGAAUGGCUCCGUAAUACCUCUUUCUUCCAUGCUCGAGCUUCAGCAAGAAGAAGAAAUAACAUAAUCAAAUUUCUUCGUAAAGUUGAUGGAUCUAGAUGUGAAGACUCUGAGGGCAUCAAAGACAUGGUAUAUGAUUUCUAUACCUCACUUUUCACCUCUGAACCCUCAGUUUCAAUUGAUGCAGUACUUGAAGCUAUACCAAAGAAAGUUACUGAACAAAUGAAUGAAGCCCUAUGUCGAGAGUACACAAAUGAUGAAAUCAAGGCUGCUCUUUUCCAAAUGGGACCUACUAAGGCCCUAGGGCCUGAUGGUUUCCCGACACUCUUUUAUCAAAAACAUUGGGACCUACUGGAAGAAGACAUAUGUGCUGCUGUAAAAGGAUUUCUUAUGGGCCAUGACAUUCCAGAAGGUUUCUGCGACUCGGAAAAAGAAGAAUCAGGGGAGUUGAAAGGUAUUCGCAAUGGGAAAACAUGCCCUUCUAUUUCACAUCUCCUAUUUGCUGAUGACAGCGUGUUCUUCAUCAGGGAGACGAUAAAAGUGUUAAUGCGCUUAAAUCUGUAUUACAUAUCUAUUGUGAUGGUUCUGGGCAGAGAAUCAACAUGCAAAAGUCGUCCAUAUUCUUUGGCCCUCACUGUGAGGAAUUAG
rnacentral:rRNA from 1 species